rnacentral:rRNA from 1 species
CACGUAGGGGGCAAGCGUUGUCCGGAUUUAUUGGGCGUAAAGAGCUCGUAGGUGGUUCGAUAAGUCGGGUGUGAAACCUCCAGGCUCAACCUGGAGACGCCACCCGAUACUGUCGUGACUAGAGUCCAGUAGGGGAGCGUGGAAUUCCUGGUGUAGCGGUGAAAUGCGCAGAUAUCAGGAGGAACACCGAUGGCGAAGGCAGGUCUCUGGGCCACUACUGACGCUGAGAAGCGAAAGCAUGGGGAGCGAACAGG